AUGGAAUCGCUGCCGCUCUGCCUGCUGCUCCUCCCUCUCCUUGCCAUCGUCCCACUCCUCUGCCUCAACCAUCGGCGUCGGCGCCGCGCCCAUGCCGUCCGUCUUCCCCCGUCGCCAUGGGCACUCCCGGUGCUCGGCCACCUCCACCACCUUGCAUGGGACCUGCCGCACCGCGCCAUGCGCGACCUGGCGCGGCGGCACGGCCCGGUCGUCAUGCUCCGCCUCGGCGGGUUGCCGGUCGUCGUCGCCUCCUCCGCCGAUGCAGCGCGCGAGGUCAUGGUGUCUCACGACGUCGACUUCGCCUCCCGCCACAUGAGCCGCAUGGUCCGCCUGUCCAUCCCUCAGGGCGCCGAGGGGAUCAUCUUCGCGCCCUACGGCGACGAGUGGCGACAGCUCCGCAAGAUCUGCACCGUCGAGCUUCUCAGCGCCCGGCGCGUGCACUCCUUCCGCCCCGUGCGCGAGGAGGAGGCCGGCCGGCUACUCCGUGCGGUGGCGCUGUCUGCAUCGCGGGGAACGGCGAACCUCAGCGAGCUGCUGUCCGUGUAUGCCGCCGACUCAUCAGUGCGCGCCGUCAUUGGCAGCAGAUUCAAGGAUCGGGACGCGUUCCUGGCGUUGCUGCGGCGCGGGACCAAGCUGUUCGCCGGGAUGAGCUUGCCGGACCUCUACCCGUCGUCGCGUGUGGCCAUGCUCCUGAGCCGGACGCGAGGCCGGAUGAGGCAGCACCGGCAGGAAUUGGCCGCGUUCAUGGACGCCAUUGUCCGGGAGCACCAGGAGGUCCGCCGGGUUGACGACGGGGAGGAGGACCUCCUGGACGUGCUCCUCAGGAUCCAGCGGGAAGGCGACCUGCAGUUCCCCUUGUCUACCGACAACAUCAAGUCGGCCGUCGGAGACAUGUUCGCCGGGGGCAGCGAGACGGCGGCGACGACGCUGCAGUGGGCCAUGUCUGAGCUCGUUAGGAACCCGAGAGCGAUGCGGAAGGCGCAGGACGAGGUCCGGCUCGCGCUGGCCGGACAGCCCACGGUGACCGAGUCCUCGCUCGCCGAUCUAAACUACCUGCGCCUGGUGGUCAAGGAGGUGCUCCGGCUGCACCCGCCGGCGCCGCUGCUGCUGCCGCGGGAGUGCCGAAGCGACGGCUGCCGGGUCCUGGGCUACGACGUGCCCAAGGGGACCAUGGUGCUCGUCAACGCCUGGGCCAUCAGCAGGGAUCCGGUCCACUGGGAGGCCGCGGAAGAGUUCGUGCCGGAGAGGUUCGAGCGUGGCGAGGCCGCCGACUUCAAGGGGACGGACAUGGAGUACACGCCGUUCGGGGCCGGGCGGCGGAUGUGCCCCGGUAUGGCGUUCGGGCUGGCAAACGUGGAGCUCGCACUCGCCGGGCUGCUGUACCACUUCGACUGGGAGCUGCCGGGCGGAGCGGAGGCCGGCGAGCUGGACAUGGCGGAGGAGAUGGGCGUCACCGUGCGGCGGCGCCACGACCUCGUGCUUGUCCCCGUGGCGCGAGUGCCCGUGCCGCCAAAUUACAGUAGUAAUAGUUGA
rnacentral:rRNA from 1 species